UCCUCAGUAGCUCAGAUGGUAAAGCGUCUGCCUACAAUGUGGAAGACCUGGGUUCAAUCCCUGGCCCGGGAA
rnacentral:tRNA from 1 species